CAUGGGUUGUCUGUUACAUCCCUGCUACAAUGUCAUUCCUCAACAUCCUUCCAGCCCUGAAGUCUUUCCCGUUCAUUGUUCCUUACCUUCUUUUCGAGAAUACCAUGUCAGUGACCAAGUUCAAUGCUAUGAUAUCCGGUCUUUUCCAACUUGGCAGUGCAUGAGUGGGUUGUUACCAAAAAAUCUGGCCUAUACUCGGAGGGUGAUCUUGUUUCCUUGGUUGAGAAGAAGCCAAAACAUAACCAGGUUGGAUCAGAACCCAAUCUUGAGGAAAUGAAAGCAGAACUCAUGCAAGAACAAUAAAAAAAGGCAAAGA